rnacentral:rRNA from 1 species
CUCAGGACGAACGCUGGCGGCGUGCCUAAUACAUGCAAGUCGAGCGGACAGAAGGGAGCUUGCUCCCCGGAUGUUAGCGGCGGACGGGUGAGUAACACGUGGGUAACCUGCCUGUAAGACUGGGAUAACUCCGGGAAACCGGAGCUAAUACCGGAUAGUUCCUUGAACCGCAUGGUUCAAGGAUGAAAGACGGUUUCGGCUGUCACUUACAGAUGGACCCGCGGCGCAUUAGCUAGUUGGUGAGGUAACGGCUCACCAAGGCGACGAUGCGUAGCCGACCUGAGAGGGUGAUCGGCCACACUGGGACUGAGACACGGCCCAGACUCCUACGGGAGGCAGCAGUAGGGAAUCUUCCGCAAUGGACGAAAGUCUGACGGAGCAACGCCGCGUGAGUGAUGAAGGUUUUCGGAUCGUAAAGCUCUGUUGUUAGGGAAGAACAAGUGCAAGAGUAACUGCUUGCACCUUGACGGUACCUAACCAGAAAGACACGGCUAACUACGUGCCAGCAGCCGCGGUAAUACGUAGGUGGCAAGCGUUGUCCGGAAUUAUUGGGCGUAAAGGGCUCGCAGGCGGUUUCUUAAGUCUGAUGUGAAAGCCCCCGGCUCAACCGGGGAGGGUCAUUGGAAACUGGGAAACUUGAGUGCAGAAGAGGAGAGUGGAAUUCCACGUGUAGCGGUGAAAUGCGUAGAGAUGUGGAGGAACACCAGUGGCGAAGGCGACUCUCUGGUCUGUAACUGACGCUGAGGAGCGAAAGCGUGGGGAGCGAACAGGAUUAGAUACCCUGGUAGUCCACGCCGUAAACGAUGAGUGCUAAGUGUUAGGGGGUUUCCGCCCCUUAGUGCUGCAGCUAACGCAUUAAGCACUCCGCCUGGGGAGUACGGUCGCAAGACUGAAACUCAAAGGAAUUUACGGGGGCCCGCACAAGCGGUGGAGCAUGUGGUUUAAUUCGAAGCAACGCGAAGAACCUUACCAGGUCUUGACAUCCUCUGACAACCCUAGAGAUAGGGCUUUCCCUUCGGGGACAGAGUGACAGGUGGUGCAUGGUUGUCGUCAGCUCGUGUCGUGAGAUGUUGGGUUAAGUCCCGCAACGAGCGCAACCCUUGAUCUUAGUUGCCAGCAUUCAGUUGGGCACUCUAAGGUGACUGCCGGUGACAAACCGGACGAAGGUGGGGAUGACGUCAAAUCA